rnacentral:rRNA from 1 species
UGGGGAAUAUUGCACAAUGGGCGCAAGCCUGAUGCAGCCAUGCCGCGUGUAUGAAGAAGGCCUUCGGGUUGUAAAGUACUUUCAGCGGGGAGGGAGGGAGUAAAGUUAAUACCUUUGCUCAUUGACGUUACCCGCAGAAGAAGCACCGGCUAACUCCGUGCCAGCAGCCGCGGUAAUACGGAGGGUGCAAGCGUUAAUCGGAAUUACUGGGCGUAAAGCGCACGCAGGCGGUUUGUUGAGUCAGAUGUGAAAUCCCCGGGCUCAACCUGGGAACUGCAUCUGAUACUGGCAAGCUUGAGUCUCGUAGAGGGGGGUAGAAUUCCAGGUGUAGCGGUGAAAUGCGUAGAGAUCUGGAGGAAUACCGGUGGCGAAGGCGGCCCCCUGGACGAAGACUGACGCUCAGGUGCGAAAGCGUGGGGAGCAAACAGG